rnacentral:rRNA from 1 species
UGAGUAUUCUAAGGCGCUUGAGAGAACUCAGGAGAAGGAACUCGGCAAAUUGACACCGUAACUUCGGAAGAAGGUGUGCCUUAAGUAGGUGAAGUCCCUGCGGAUGGAGCCCAAAAAGGUUGCAAAAAAUCGGUGGCUGCGACUGUUUAUUAAAAACACAGCACUCUGCAAACACGAAAGUGGACGUAUAGGGUGUGACGCCUGCCCGGUGCUGGAAGAUUAAAUGAUGGGGUGCAAGCUCUUGAUUGAAGUCCCAGUAAACGGCGGCCGUAACUAUAACGGUCCUAAGGUAGCGAAAUUCCUUGUCGGGUAAGUUCCGACCUGCACGAAUGGCGUAACGAUGGCCACACUGUCUCCUCCUGAGACUCAGCGAAGUUGAAAUGUUUGUGAUGAUGCAAUCUCCCCGCGGAAAGACGGAAAGACCCCAUGAACCUUUACUGUAGCUUUGUAUUGGACUUUGAACAGAUCUGUGUAGGAUAGGUGGGAGGCUUUGAAGCGGUGCCGCUAGGUAUCGUGGAGCCAACGUUGAAAUACCACCCUGGUGUGUUUGAGGUUCUAACCUAGGUCCAUUAUCUGGAUCGGGGACAGUGCAUGGUAGGCAGUUUGACUGGGGCGGUCUCCUCCCAAAGCGUAACGGAGGAGUUCGAAGGUACGCUAGUUACGGUCGGACAUCGUGACGAUAGUGCAAUGGCAUAAGCGUGCUUAACUGCGAGACUGACAGGUCGAGCAGAUGCGAAAGCAGGACAUAGUGAUCCGGUGGUUCUGUAUGGAAGGGCCAUCGCUCAACGGAUAAAAGGUACUCUGGGGAUAACAGGCUGAUACCGCCCAAGAGUUCGUAUCGACGGCGGUGUUUGGCACCUCGAUGUCGGCUCAUCUCAUCCUGGGGCUGUAGCCGGUCCCAAGGGUAUGGCUGUUCGCCAUUUAAAGAGGUACGUGAGCUGGGUUUAAAACGUCGUGAGACAGUUUGGUCCCUAUCUUCCGUGGGCGCUGCAGAUUUGAGGAAGCCUGCUCCUAGUACGAGAGGACCGGAGUGGACACACCUCUGGUGUAUCGGUUGUCACGCCAGUGGCAUUGCCGAGUAGCUAAGUGUGGAAGAGAUAAACGCUGAAAGCAUCUAAGCGAGAAACUCGUUUCAAGAUGAGAUCUGCCGGGGCCUUGAGCCCCCUAAAGAGUCGUUCUAGACCAGGACGUUGAUAGGCAGGGUGUGGAAGCGCAGUAAUGCGUUAAGCUAACCUGUACUAAUUGCUCGUGCGGCUUGACCCU